rnacentral:rRNA from 1 species
GGUAACAGGUCCUUCGGGAUGCUGACGAGUGGCGGACGGGUGAGGAAUGCAUCGGAAUCUGCCUGUUUGUGGGGGAUAACGCAUGGAAACGUGCGCUAAUACCGCAUACGUCCUUUGGUCGGGAGAUGAUUGGAGAAAGUGGGGGACCUUCGGGCCUCACGCGAACAGAUGAGCCGAUGUCGGAUUAGCUGGUUGGUGGGGUAAAGGCCUACCAAGGCGACGAUCCGUAGCUGGUCUGAGAGGAUGAUCAGCCACACUGGAACUGAGACACGGUCCAGACUCCUACGGGAGGCAGCAGUGGGGAAUAUUGGACAAUGGGGGCAACCCUGAUCCAGCCAUGCCGCGUGUGUGAAGAAGGCCCUUGGGUUGUAAAGCACUUUUGUUGGGGAAGAAAAGUUUUCGGUGAAUAUCUGGAGACGCUGACGGUACCCAAAGAAUAAGCACCGGCUAACUUCGUGCCAGCAGCCGCGGUAAUACGAAGGGUGCAAGCGUUACUCGGAAUCACUGGGCGUAAAGGGUGCGCAGGCGGCCUGCCAAGUCUGAUGUGAAAG